CCCUUAGAUGUUCUGGGCCGCACGCGCGCUACACUGACAGAGCCAGCGAGUUUUUUUCCUUGGCCGGAAGGUCUGGGUAAUCUUGUGAAACUCUGUCGUGCUGGGGAUAGAGCAUUGCAAUUAUUGCUCUUCAACGAGGAAUACCUAGUAAGCGUGAGUCAUCAGCUCGCGUUGAUUACGUCCCUGCCCUUUGUACACACCGCCCGUCGCUCCUACCGAUUGAAUGAUCCGAUGAAUAUCAUGGAUUGAGGAUGCAAGUAGGUUCGCCUAUCUUCAUCUUCGACAAGUGAAGUAAAUCUUAUCAUUUAGAGGAAGGAGAAGUCGUAACA
rnacentral:rRNA from 1 species